UUAAGGGAAGUAUUACAUUUUACAUAUCACUUACAAUGAUGAGAUCCUAAAGGGCCCUUAAU
rnacentral:tRNA from 1 species